CGCGAUGCAACUUUUACGAUAAAUCGAUUCCUAGUUACGUUUUUCUACGCAUUCGUUGCACUGUUGUCGCGGCCGCGUCGCGCUGCGGACGCGAACGAUCUCAAAGCGCGCACUUAAGAUUUACUGCAGUUCGUACCCGUUAAGCAUAGUUUCAGUACGGUCGGGUCGCGUGAUUCAUCGACUAGCUAUUUGUUUCUUUACGUUUCUGAUAAGGAUUUACGUGAAAAAAUAAUGUAAAAUAUGUGCUCACAGCGUGUGUAAAGCGAUGCGUUCGAGUUAACAACAGUGCAAUACAUGUGAUACCAAAGUGUCCAAACUCCCAAAGUUAUAAA